UCAGGACGAACGCUGGCGGCGUGCCUAACACAUGCAAGUCGAGCGAGGAGAUCCUUCGGGAUGAUCCUAGCGGCGGACGGGUGAGUAACACGUGGGCAACCUGCCUCAUAGAGAGGAAUAGCCUUCCGAAAGGGAGAUUAAUACCUCAUAACAUUGCAGUUUCGCAUGGAACAGCAAUUAAAGGAGUAAUCCGCUAUGAGAUGGGCCCGCGGCGCAUUAGCUAGUUGGUGAGGUAACGGCUCACCAAGGCGACGAUGCGUAGCCGACCUGAGAGGGUGAUCGGCCACAUUGGGACUGAGACACGGCCCAGACUCCUACGGGAGGCAGCAGUGGGGAAUAUUGCACAAUGGGGGAAACCCUGAUGCCAGCAACGCCGCGUGAGUGAUGACGGCCUUCGGGUUGUAAAGCUCUGUCUUCAGGGACGAUAAUGACGGUACCUGAGGAGGAAGCCACGGCUAACUACGUGCCAGCCGCCGC
rnacentral:rRNA from 1 species